rnacentral:rRNA from 1 species
CGUAGGGACCAAGCGUUGUUCGGAUUUACUGGGCGUAAAGGGCGCGUAGGCGGCGCGGUAAGUCACUUGUGAAAUCUCUGAGCUUAACUCAGAACGGCCAAGUGAUACUGCAGUGCUAGAGUGUGGAAGGGGCAAUCGGAAUUCUUGGUGUAGCGGUGAAAUGCGUAGAUAUCAAGAGGAACACCUGAGGUGAAGACGGGUUGCUGGGCCAACACUGACGCUGAUGCGCGAAAGCCAGGGGAGCAAACGGGAUUAGAUACCCCGGUAGUCCUGGCCCUAAACGAUGAAUACUUGGUGUCUGGAGUUUUAAUGCUCCGGGUGCCGUCGCUAACGUUUUUAGUAUUCCGCCUGGGAGUACGCUCGCAAGAGUG